GUGUUCACUUCAAUAUCACAUAUACUAAAAUUGGAACGAUACAGAGAAGAUUAGCAUGGCUCCUAUGCAAGGAUGACACUUAAAUUCAUGAAGCAUUCCAUACUUUU
ensembl:snRNA U6 U6 spliceosomal RNA